AAGUGGCCCCAGAGUACUCCCUGGCCCCUUCUGCCAUGUGAAGAUACAGCAAGAAAACGGCUGUCUAUCAACCAGGAAGAGGCCCUCACCAGAAUCCGCCACACUGACACCCUGAUCUCAGGAUUCCAGCCUCCAGAACUGCGAGAAAUAAAUUUCUGUUGUUAAUAAGCCACCUAGUCUAUGACAUUCCAUUAUAGCCUCCCUGGCAGAUGAAGACGCUCAGUCUCCCAGUUUGUCAAACAAGCUGAGCGCUCAGCUAUCUGGGAGAAGAGGCCCCGUCCCGUCUCGGCUGCAGCAGAUGAAGACUGGACCAUAUGCCGAUCGCUUGGCUGGACCCGUGAAUCUGAGAGACUUCCCAUUCCAUUUUCAAAACUUCCAGCAAAGCCAGAUGUAUGAGAAAAAAGACAUCCGGCCUCUGUAAGUUUUGACACAGUAGGAAACAGACUGAUCCCUGGAAGAUCAAUACAAAAGGCAACGCGGCAGUUCGACAGCUGAAAAUACAGGCGGCGGCAGCCAGCCACGCCUGUGGGCAGGGGAGAGGGAGUAGAAUGUACUUACGGACCCAGUAAUACUGACCAUAUUGAAGGGUAAGUGGCAUCCAAAGCGAGGCUGGCACUUGCUAAAGUGGUAGUAAACCAGAGCACACCUUCAGUGCCGGAGAAGAACGUUUCUGUCGCUCCCUGGAACUGCUCCUGGAAAUGCCAUGGCUCAGAUGAAGCCCACACAUGCCCAUACCCACAGCUUCAGUUUUUUACAUCAGCCCACAUUGCAAUCUGGGAGCGAUAGGAGCAGAGGUAGACCCUCUGCUCCCAUCCCUGAUAGCCAGGGACAAUUUGCUCUUAUGAGAGAUCAAAGACCUUGAAUGCGUUCAUUUAUUUUGCUAUGAGUGGAGACAGUCUCCCUGAGUAGGUACUCAAGGGAGAAUUCUGGAACAUAUUUCUGCCUGUGGGGGUGCUAAAGUAUUGCAGCAUGUGUUUAGUCUGGCAUAUGUUGGAGCCACCAUGCCCAGUGGGGCGCUGACUGACUGGGAAUGGGUGCCAGCCUGGGGCAGGUAUGCUGGGAUUUAAGUUCUUUUCUGUGGAUCUAACCAAGUUGCUCCUUCCUUCCCUGCUUGGUACAAACUAGUCGAGAAAACAAAAAAACAAGGCAUUUGCAACAAAUUUAAGUACAAUAUGGAUAGAAUGAUUCUAGAGAUGCCCUGAGGCAGUGCCCGGUGGAUCCCAGCUGGGGAACACACAGGGGUGCUUUGGGAGUUUAGGGAAGAGAAGGGCUGUGGGGAAAUUAGGGAUCAGUGAAGCUCCUGGGGUUCAGGAACAGUUGAUAGAGCCCAGUCGGGGCCCUUGGCUAACCCCAGAGAGCCAGGUCUGUGGAAAGCCAUAUCUGCUUCUGAGAAAAUGUUUGAAGGAAGCGGGAAUCAGGAAUAUGGUUCUAUCCAGAACCCCUUGGAUUUCAGCCUAAGACAGAGGAGAAGGCCUGGCUUCCUGGGAAGGCUCAGAAUGGGCAUAUUCCACUUCAUGGAGUAGUAUAUUCCCCCAGACAUGGCCCCUAUCGGACCACACUGUGGACUCACUCCCUUCAUCAAUGGCUGAGAGACUAAAUUAGGCUAAAAUGCACAUGAUGGUCAGGCUGAAGUGGCAACCAAGUGACAAAGCCUGCAAACUGGGGCAGAUGUGAGGACCCUCCUUGUGCAAGUCCUAGGCCCAGGGUUGAGGAAAUGACUCUGGGCUGUCAAGCCCCAGCUGAUGGCCUCUCCUCCACUGGCAGCAGCAGCAACCUUCCUUAUUCUCUGCCUCCUCCCAGUCCUAUGCACACGGGCCAGGUCUGGAAUGUCACUGGGGAGCCGCCAAUGAAGCCAAGCAGAUGAAAUGGUACAAAUAGUUGAGGAUACAAGGCAUCUGCAAAAAGUGUAAUUACAAUAUAGACGUCACAAUGCAAGAGAUGCCACAAGGCAGUGCACAGUGGACCCCAGCUGGGGAACAGGCAGGGGUGUCUGGGGAGUUUAGGGAAGGGCUGUAGGGAAAUUAGUGGUUAGUGCAGGUAAUGCUGGCAAUGUUUGCAGAAGGCAUGUGUCAUGAUAUGGUAGAACAUGUUCUCCAGAGAAGCUCCUUUAAAAGGCUCUUCUACGCCGGGUGCAGUGGCUCAUGUCUGUAAUUCCAGCACUUUGGGAGGUCGAAGUGGGCAGAUCACCUGAGGUCAGGAGUUCAAGAACAGCCUGGCCAACAUGGCGAAACCCCAUUUGUAAAAUAUGAAAAUUACAAAUUAGUCAGGUAUGGUGGCGGGCGCCUAUAAUUCCAGCUACUCGGGAGGCUGAGUCAGGGAGAAUUGCUGGAACCCAAGAGGCGGAGGUUGCAGUGAGCCAAGAUCCUACCACAGCAAUCCAGCCUGUGCAACAGAGUGAGACUUCAUCUCAAAAUAAAUAAAUAAAUAAAUAAAAUAAACAUUUACAAAGACUCUUCUUAGCCUGGGUAUAGAACUGACAUUAGUGGUAGAUCUAGAGAAUAAAAUGAUCUAUUCUUUUCCUCCUCUGCAGGUCAAGUCCAUUCUUAUGUUUAUUUAUGAAUCCAUUAUUAUGUUCACAUAUAUGUUUCUUCUCUUUUUUUUCUAUGUGCAUGGAACUGUAUUGGCCUUGUGACCAUUAUAGUGCAUUUUAUUAGCAUUUGUAAGCAUUGCAAUAAAUUAGACAUUUUUAAAGUGCAUAUCUCUAAAAAUAAUUACUUCAGUUUUGGCUAACACAGAGGUAUCCCCAAGAGGAACAUCAAUUUCUUUUGUUGGAGAAAAG
rnacentral:lncRNA from 10 species